UACAUGCAAGUCGAGCGCAGGAAGCAAGCUGAUCCCCUUCGGGGGUGACGCUUGUGGAAUGAGCGGCGGACGGGUGAGUAACACGUGGGCAACCUGCCUGUAAGACUGGGAUAACCCCGGGAAACCGGGGCUAAUACCGGAUAAUACUUUCUUUUGCAUAAAGGAAAGUUGAAAGGCGGCUUCGGCUGUCACUUACAGAUGGGCCCGCGGCGCAUUAGCUAGUUGGUGAGGUAACGGCUCACCAAGGCGACGAUGCGUAGCCGACCUGAGAGGGUGAUCG
rnacentral:rRNA from 1 species